GAUCCUGGCUCAGAGCGAACGUUAGCGGCAGGCUUAACACAUGCAAGUCGAGCGAGAAAGGGGCUUCGGCUCCGAGUAAAGCGGCGGACGGGUGCGUAACACGUGGAUAAUCUGCCUCGUGGCGGGGGACAACAGUCCGAAAGGACUGCUAAUACCGCAUGUCAGGUCGGAAACUCCGGUUUCUGACGAAAAAGAGGGCGCCCGCAAGGGGCUCUCAUCACGAGAUGAGUCCGCGUCCCAUCAGCUAGUUGGCGGUGUAAUAGACCACCAAGGCUUAGACGGGUAGCUGGUCUGAGAGGAUGACCAGCCACACUGGGACUGAGACACGGCCCAGACUCCUACGGGAGGCAGCAGUGGGGAAUAUUGGACAAUGGGCGAAAGCCUGAUCCAGCCAUGCCGCGUG
rnacentral:rRNA from 1 species